GACAGAGGGUGCAAACGUUGCUCGGAAUCACUGGGCGUAAAGGGCGCGUAGGCGGGGAUGUAAGUCGGGCGUGAAAUCCCCAGGCUCAACCUGGGAACUGCACUCGAAACUGCGUUUCUUGAGUAUCGGAGAGGAAAGCGGAAUUCCUGGUGUAGAGGUGAAAUUCGUAGAUAUCAGGAGGAAUACCAGCGGCGAAGGCGGCGCUCUGGGCCGGUACUGACGCUGAGGAGCGAAAGCGUGGGGAGCAAACAGG
rnacentral:rRNA from 1 species